rnacentral:rRNA from 1 species
GACGGGGCCCGCACAAGCGGUGGAGCAUGUGGUUUAAUUCGAUGCAACGCGAAGAACCUUACCUGGGCUUGACAUCCCGAGAAUCCCCUGGAAACAGGGGAGUGCCUUUCGGGGAACUCGGAGACAGGUGCUGCAUGGCUGUCGUCAGCUCGUGUCGUGAGAUGUUGGGUUAAGUCCCGCAACGAGCGCAACCCUUGUCUUUAAUUGCCAGCAUUCAGUUGGGCACUUUAAAGAGACUGCCGGUGUUAAGCCGGAGGAAGGUGGGGAUGACGUCAAGUCCUCAUGGCCUUUAUGCCCAGGGCUACACACGUGCUACAAUGGGUGGUACAAAGAGAUGCCAACUCGCGAGAGCGCGCCAAUCUCAGAAAGCCAUCCUCAGUUCGGAUUGGAGUCUGCAACUCGACUCCAUGAAGUUGGAAUCGCUAGUAAUCGUGGAUCAGCAUGCCACGGUGAAUACGUUCCCGGGCCUU